rnacentral:rRNA from 1 species
GACGAACGCUGGCGGCGUGCUUAACACAUGCAAGUCGAACGGAAAGGCCCUGCUUUUGUGGGGUGCUCGAGUGGCGAACGGGUGAGUAACAAGUGAGUAACCUGCCCUUGACUUUGGGAUAACUUCAGGAAACUGGGGCUAAUACCGGAUAGGAGCUCCUGCUGCAUGGGGGGGGGUGGAAAGUUUCGGCGGUUGGGGAUGGACUCGCGGCUUAUCAGCUUGUUGGUGGGGUAGUGGCUUACCAAGGCUUUGACGGGUAGCCGGCCUGAGAGGGUGACCGGCCACAUUGGGACUGAGAUACGGCCCAGACUCCUACGGGAGGCAGCAGUGGGGAAUAUUGCACAAUGGGCGGAAGCCUGAUGCAGCAACGCCGCGUGCGGGAUGACGGCCUUCGGGUUGUAAACCGCUUUCGCCUGUGACGAAGCGUGAGUGACGGUAAUGGGUAAAGAAGCACCGGCUAACUACGUG